GGCAACCGAGUUCCCUCCCCGCGAGGAGACAUGACCCCUCACAGAGACUGGGCUAUGUCAGCAGAAACCAGUCCUGGAAAUGCUUUUGUGUAAAAAUGUGGAUAGCCUGAGAGGAAAGUAUCCCGGUAUUUAGCAGAGAAAGGCUUUGCUUCUGCUUCCCUUUCAACCAUCUCAGCACUUUAAAGAGAAGGGCAACGUUCUUUAAAAGUACAUACUGUAUCUCUGCAGGCCUCCACUAAAGUAGGAGGUCGAUGUAUGAGUGAGACUCAUUUUAUUGUUAAUUUAUCUUCAUGAUGCUCAAUAUCAGACUCCAUUUUCAUUGACUGAAUAGCUGCGGAGUCAUUAUGAAGGCAAUAAGAACUGAGUUACUAGCCUUGGAAGUGAUUAUUGCUAGAUUUUUUUC
rnacentral:lncRNA from 14 species